GGAGAGUGGGCUCGGCGUGCUUCUUCCCGAAGAUGACAGCAGUUACCCGACAACAAGUUCUUGGCCUUUACCGCAAGAUAUUCCGAAUAGCCAAAAAAUGGCAGUCGGCAUCAGGACAGACAGAAGAAACCAUUCAAGAGAAAGAGUACAUUAAAAAUGAGGCCAAAACACUCUUCCGCAAAAACAAAAAUGUAACAGAUCCAAAGUUGAUUAAGCAGUGUAUAGAAGAAUGUGAGGCAAGAAUAGAAAUUGGACUUCACUAUAACAUCCCCUACCCGAGACCUGUCCAUCUGCCUCCUAUGGGUCUUGCCCAUAAGCAAGGCCGCACGUUGCGACACCAGGAAAAGUUAAGGAAGAUUUCUAAGCCAAUAUACCUGAAAUCCCAUGAUGAAAUUUCAUAACUCAUCAUUUAAGCUGGGAUGUGUAAUCACAUCAUUUAAGAUGUGGACUGCAAUCCAGGUGAUUCGUGUGCACAACUGUGAAUGAAGCAGUUUUGGUCACUCUACACUUUUCCAGAGGCCAAAAAGCUAAUUGAUGCAUUGCAUAUGAUGGAUAAGGGCAUGAAUAGAUAUUCAUAUGAAGAAAG